UCUUCUUCUUCUUCCGUUAAGGAGUUGACCUCAUAUUUGAGUGAUUAACUAACUCCGCUCGGUAAAACAGGAGGCUUCUCCAUUGAUUAAAAGUGAAUAUUAACAAAAUAAUUAAAACUAUUUACACUGUACAAUUUGGCAAACUGAUGUCUAGUUAGGCUGCAUCUGGGUCCAGGGCACACUGGCUAAUCUGGCCCUGAACUCUUCGAGUGUUGGUGCAGCUGCUACUGUGUCUGGCAGAAGGUUCCAGUCCCUUAUAGAGCGUGGGAAGAAGGAGUUGUUGUAUACUUCCUUAGUAGCUCUUAUCUGUCUAAGUCUGUGGCCACCCUUGUUCUGUUGUCCCCAGGUGUGUAGUAGAUAGCUGGUUGUAUCUCCACUAGUUGGUUCUGUAUCUUGUAGCAUAGUACGAGUCGCUGUUUAAUUCGUCUAUACUGUAGUGGAUCCCACUGGAGUUGGUCUAAUAAUCCAGUGACGCACCCUGGGGAAGUGUCUGUGUACUGGUUGUAGACAAAUCGUGCUGCUUUACGCUGUACCCGGUCGAUGUCUUUGAUCAAUGUGGUUUGAUGGGGGUCCCACACUGUGGCAGCGUACUCAAUCGAUGGUCUGAUGAGAGCACAAUAGGCUGUGUUUUUAACAGAUGGUUUGCAUCGGCCCAGGUUUCUGCGGAGAAAACCGAGGGUCCUGGUUGCUUUUCCUGUGGUGUUAAUAAUGUGCUUAUUCCACUGUAGGUC
rnacentral:lncRNA from 1 species